rnacentral:rRNA from 1 species
UGGUGGAGCGAUUUGUCUGGUUAAUUCCGAUAACGAACGAGACUCUAGCCUGCUAAAUAGACGGGCGAUCCCUUGUGGGUCGAUCCGAUUGCUUCUUAGAGGGACAAGUGGCGUUCCUAGCCACGCGAAAUUGAGCAAUAACA